rnacentral:tRNA from 1 species
AGGAUAGUAGUCAAGUGGUAAGACAUAACUCUUCGAUGUUAGUAUCGCAGGUUCGAAUCCUGUCUAGUCUA